UGAGGAAUAUUGGUCAAUGGGGGCAACCCUGAACCAGCCAUGCCGCGUGAAGGAUGAAGGCCCUAUGGGUUGUAAACUUCUUUUUUUAGGGACGAAACUGAGCUACGUGUAGCUUACUGACGGUACCUAAUGAAUAAGCAACGGCUAACUCCGUGCCAGCAGCCGCGGUAAUACGGAGGUUGCAAGCGUUAUCCGGAUUUAUUGGGUUUAAAGGGUGCGUAGGCGGGAUUAUAAGUCAGUGGUGAAAACCUGCAGCUUAACUGUAGAACUGCCAUUGAUACUGUAAUUCUUGAGUCUAGUUGAGGUGGGCGGAAUGUGUAAUGUAGCGGUGAAAUGCUUAGAUAUUACACAGAACACCAAUUGCGUAGGCAGCUCACUAAACUAUAACUGACGCUGAGGCACGAAAGCGUGGGGAGCAAACAGG
rnacentral:rRNA from 1 species